rnacentral:rRNA from 1 species
GAUGAACGCUGGCGGCGUGCUUAACACAUGCAAGUCGAACGGAAGGGCGCUGCUUUUGUGGGGUGCUCGAGUGGCGAACGGGUGUGUAACACGUGAGUAUCCCGCCCUUGACUUUGGGAUAACUUCAGGAAACUGGGGCUAAUACCGGAUAGGAGCUCCUGCUGCAUGGUGGGGGUUGGAAAGUUUCGGCGGUUGGGGAUGGACUCGCGGCUUAUCAGCUUGUUGGUGGGGUAGUGGCUUACCAAGGCUUUGACGGGUAGCCGGCCUGAGAGGGUGAACGGCCACCUUGGUACUGAGAUAGGGCCCAGUAGGGAAUGGGAGGCAACAGUGGGAAACAUGGCACAAUGGGGGGAAGCCUGAUGCAGAAGCGCCGCGUGCGGAAAGACGGCUUUCGGGGGGUGAACCGCUUUCGCCUGUGACGAAGCGUGAGUGACGGUAAUGGGUAAAGAAGCACCGGCUAACUACGUG